rnacentral:rRNA from 1 species
GAAUUCGAUUCAGGCCUAACACAUGCAAGUCGAACGAUGAAGCACCUUCGGGUGUGGAUUAGUGGCGAACGGGUGAGGAACACGUGAGAAAUCUGCCUUCAACUCUGGGAUAACUCCGGGAAACCGGGGCUAAUACCGGAUAUGAGCCUUGAUCGCAUGAUCGAGGCUGGAAAGUUUUUCGGUUGAAGAUGAUCUCGCGGCCUAUCAGCUUGUUGGUGAGGUAAUGGCUCACCAAGGCGACGACGGGUAUCCGGCCUGAGAGGGCGACCGGACACACUGGGACUGAGACACGGCCCAGACUCCUACGGGAGGCAGCAGUGGGGAAUAUUGGGCAAUGGGGGAAAGCCUGACCCAGCGACGCCGCGUGAGGGAUGAAGACGGUCGGGUUGUAAACCUCUUUCAGUAGGGAAGAAGCGAAA